UCGACGGUGUGGCGCAGUGGUUGUGUGCUAGACUGGUAGGCUGGAGGUUUUGGGUUCGAAUCCUAUGUGGUGAA